rnacentral:Y_RNA from 1 species
AGCUGGCCCAAGUGCAGUGGUGUUUACAGCUAAUUGAUCACAACUGGUUACAGAUUCCUUUGUUCCUUUUCCACUUACACUGCUUCACUUGACUAGUAAAAU